AACGAACGUUGGCGGCGUGGAUUAGGCAUGCAAGUCGAGCGAGAAAGGGUAGCAAUACCCGAGUAAAGCGGCAAACUGGUUAGUAACAGGUGGGCAAUGUGCCCCGAAGUGGGGGAUAACUCCGAGAAAUCGGAACUAAUACCGCAUAUGGCCGUCGGGACUUCGGUCCGGACGGUUAAAGGCUUUGGUCGCUUCGGGAUCGGCCCGCCCGAUUAGCUGUUGGCGAGGUAACGGCUCACCAAGGCGACGAUCCGUAGCUGGUCUGAGAAGACGACCAGCCACCACUGGGACGU
rnacentral:rRNA from 1 species